AGUGAACGCUGGCGGUAGGCCUAACACAUGCAAGUCGAACGGCAGCACAGUAAGAGCUUGCUCUUACGGGUGGCGAGUGGCGGAAGGGUGAGGAAUACAUCGGAAUCUACUUUUUCGUGGGGGAUAACGUAGGGAAACUUACGCUAAUAUCGCAUAAGACCUACGGGUGAAAGCAGGGGAUCUUCGGACCUUGCGCGAUUGAAUGAGCCGAUGUCGGAUUAGCUAGUUGGCGGGGUAAAGGCCCACCAAGGCGACGAUCCGUAGCUGGUCUGAGAGGAUGAUCAGCCACACUGGAACUGAGACACGGUCCAUACUCCUACGGGAGGCAGCAGUGGGGAAUAUUGGACAAUGGGCGCAAGCCUGAUCCAGCCAUACCGCGUGGGUGAAGAAGGCCUUCGGGUUGUAAAGCCCUUUUGUUGGGAAAGAAAAGCAGCAGGUUAAUACCCCGCUGUUCUGACGGUACCCAAAGAAUAAGCACCGGCUAACUUCGUG
rnacentral:rRNA from 1 species